AUUGAACGCUGGCGGCAGGCCUAACACAUGCAAGUCGAACGAGUAGCGGACUGGUGAGUAAUGUCUGGGAACAUGCCUGAUGUAGGGGGAUAACUGCUGGAACCGUUGGAUAAUACCGCAUACAGUCCGUUCUGCCCCGAUGGGAUUAGCUUGUUGGUGGGGUAACGGCUCACCAAGGGGAAGGUCCCUAGCUGGUCUGAGAGGCUGAACAGCCACACUGGAACUGAGACACGGUCCAGACUCCUACGGGAGGCAGCAGUGGGGAAUAUUGCACAAUGGGCGAAAGCCUGAUGCAGCCAUGCCGCGUGUAUGAAGAAGGCCUUCGGGUUGUAAAGUACUUUCAGCGGGGAGGCGUUACCCGAAGAAGAAGCACCGGCUAACUCCGUGCCAGCAGCCGCGGUAAUAC
rnacentral:rRNA from 1 species